AAACCAGCUGCUGAAAGCUGGGGGGGUGGGUCUCAGACUUCAGGUGGCAUAAUAAAAAGAAGGAAUGACUCAUGCUGGGACACGGAUGGCCCCUGAAAACAUCAUGCUAGGUGAAGGGAGCCAGAGAUGAAAGGCCACAUUCGGAUGUCUGCCUGAGCCCCACCCCGAAUGCCAGCCCUUCUUCCCUGAGCUCACCCAGCCCCAGCUCCAGGACUGAGAGCCCCAGGAAGCUUGGAGAGGUGUGAGAGACAGGUGUCCAGCCUCAGCCCCGCUCCUUCACCUGCAGAGCCCGGCAUGUGGGGCUACCUGUCGCUGAUGCCUGUCUUCCUAGCUGUCUGGGCUAUCUCUGGCGUCUGGAUCGUUUUUGCCAUUGCAGUGACCAACAGGACUGUGGACCUCAGUAAAGGCUUUCCCUACAUCAGCAUCUGCGGAUCCUUCCCCCCUCAGAGCUGCAUCUUCAGCCAGGUGCUCAAUAUGGGAGCCGCUCUGGCCGCGUGGAUCUGCAUUGUCCGUUACCACCAGCUCCGGGACUGGGGCGUCGGAAGGUGGCCUAACCAGCUGAUCCUAUGGACGGGUCUUCUCUGUGCCCUGGGCACCUCCGUGGUAGGCAAUUUCCAGGUGAGACCCAGUUGGCGCCCAGGGUCUGUCCCGGCCGGCGUCUGGAACUACAACUCCCAGCAUGCCCGUGGCCAUAGGCUUAUUGUCUCGGGGGCUGGUUCCAGCCUGGCCCUCCUGGGACUUGUAUUUUUCUUUGGCCAGUGGCCUUGGACCGGCUGGAUUCCUUUGCUCUCUGAGUGGGGCACUACGAGCGAGGCUGUUUGUAUGUAGGACUUCGUUGACUUCCAGGACGUUGGGAUAAUUUUCUGCCAGCCCCUCUCCCCAGCUUAUUUAAUGAUGAAAUUACUGGUCCAGGCGCAGUGGCUCAUGCCUGUAAUCCCAGCACUUUGGGAGGCAGAGGCAGGCGGAUCGCCUGAGGUGAGGAGUUUGAGACCAGCCUGGCCAACCAACAUGGUGAAACCCCGUCUCUCCUAAAAUACAGAAAAAUUAGCCGGGCGUGGUGGCAGGCGACUUAAUCCCAGCUACUUGGGAGGCAGAGGCAGGAGAAUCAUUUGAACCUGGGAGGUGGAGGUUGCAGUGAGCCGAGAUUGAGCCAUUGCACUCAAACCUGGGGGAUAAGAGUGAGACUUCUCUC
rnacentral:sRNA from 1 species